rnacentral:misc_RNA from 1 species
UCCGGUUUGUCACCGGCAGUCCCAUUAGAGUGCUCAACUAAAUGAUGGCAGUUAACGACAAGGGUUGCGCUCGUUGCGGGAAUUAACCCAACAUCUCACGACACGAGCUGACGACAGCCAUGCAGCACCUGUGUUAGCGUUCCCUUUCGGGCACCCUCACAUCUCUGCGAGGUUCGCUACAAGUCAAGGGUAGGUAAGGUUUUUCGCGUUGCAUCGAAUUAAUCCACAUAAUCCACCGCUUGUGCGGGUCCCCGUCAAUUCCUUUGAGUUUUAGCCUUGCGGCCGUACUCCCCAGGCGGGGUACUUAACGCGUUAGCUUAGGCGCGUAGGGGGUCGAGACCCCACACACCGAGUACCCAUCGUUUAGGGCGUGGACUAC